rnacentral:rRNA from 1 species
UACGUAGGGGCCGAGCGUUUGUCCGGAGUUAUUGGGCGUAAAGCGCGCGCAGGCGGGUCGCGACGUGCCGUGUAACAGCGCACUGCUCACCAGUGCGUAGCCAUGGUAGACGCGCGGUCUGGAGGCCGUGAGAGGGAUGUGGAAUACCCAGUGGAGCGGUGAAAUGCGUAGAGAUCCGGAGGAACACCAGUGGCGAAGGCGACACGCUGGGCCGUACCUGACACGUGAUGCGCGACAGCAUGGGGGAGCAAACAGG